rnacentral:rRNA from 1 species
UACAUGGGGUGCAAACGCUGCUCAGAAUUAUUGGGCGUAAAGCGCACGUAGGUGGUUCGUUAUGUCGGAUGUGAAAGCCCUCGGCUCAACUGAGGAAGUGCAUCCGAAACUGGCGAGCUAGAGUAUGUAAGAGGGUCGCGGAAUUCCCGGUGUAGAGGUGAAAUUCGUAGAUAUCGGGAGGAACACCGGUGGCGAAGGCGGCGAUCUGGGUCGAUACUGACGCUGAGGUGCGAAAGCGUGGGGAGCAAACAGG